GGUCAAGUUAUUAAGGGCUUACGGUGGAUGCCUUGGGACCAAGGGCCGAUGAAGGGCGCGGCAAGGCUGCGUUAAGCCUCGGUGAGCCGUCUAGCGGGCAUAGCCGGGGAUACCCGAAUGGGGAAACCUUGACCGGUGUUGAGUCGGUCAACCUGCUUUUGCAGGGGGUAAGUGGGGGAACUGAAACAUCUAAGUACCCCGAGGAAAAUAAAUCAACCGAGAUUCCCUAAGUAGUGGCGAACGAACGGGGAACAGCCCAAACCAGUGCGACCUAACGGCAUGAGGGCCUAUGUCGCACCGGGGUUGUAGGAGUCGCCUGGGACCGCCUCAUCAGGUCCGCAGGAGUUACAAAUCCGCUUUCUAGUCGAAGGAGCCUGGGAAGGACCGCCAUAGAGGGUGAUAGCCCCGUAGGCGAAAGGAAGCGGACUCUUGGCGAAUUUCCUGAGUACCACGGGGCACGGGAAACCUUGUGGGAAUCCGGGGGGACCACCCUCCAAGGCUAAAUACCCUUGGUCACCGAUAGCGUACCAGUACCGUGAGGGAAAGGUGAAAAGAACCCCUAGCGGGGAGUGAAAUAGACCUGAAACCGUAAGCCUACAGAAGGUCGCAGUCCGCCGAAAGGCGGAUGACGGCGUGCCUAUUGAAGAAUGAUCCGGGGACUUACUGUAUGGAGCAAG
rnacentral:rRNA from 1 species